UGGGGAAUUUUGGACAAUGGGCGAAAGCCUGAUCCAGCAAUGCCGCGUGUGUGAAGAAGGCCUUCGGGUUGUAAAGCACUUUUGUCCGGAAAGAAAUCCUUGGCUCUAAUACAGCCGGGGGAUGACGGUACCGGAAGAAUAAGCACCGGCUAACUACGUGCCAGCAGCCGCGGUAAUACGUAGGGUGCAAGCGUUAAUCGGAAUUACUGGGCGUAAAGCGUGCGCAGGCGGUUUGCUAAGACCGAUGUGAAAUCCCCGGGCUCAACCUGGGAACUGCAUUGGUGACUGGCAGGCUAGAGUAUGGCAGAGGGGGGUAGAAUUCCACGUGUAGCAGUGAAAUGCGUAGAGAUGUGGAGGAAUACCGAUGGCGAAGGCAGCCCCCUGGGCCAAUACUGACGCUCAUGCACGAAAGCGUGGGGAGCAAACAGGAUUAGAUACCCUGGUAGUCCACGCCCUAAACGAUGUCAGCUAGUUGUUGGGGAUUCAUUUCCUUAGUAACGUAGCUAACGCGUGAAGUUGACCGCCUGGGGAGUACGGUCGCAAGAUUAAAACUCAAAGGAAUUGACGGGGUCAUAGCUGUUUCCU
rnacentral:rRNA from 1 species